AUGAAUAUCCUGGCCUGGAACUGUCGAGGACUGGGGUUGGACUCGAUAGUAGGCGAACUGAGAGACCUGGUACGGUCCUACAACCCAGCGGUGGUCUUUUUGUCAGAAACAAAAAAGAAAGUGGCGCCUAUGGAUAGACUGAAGUGGAGUCUUGGUUUUCGUCAUGGGGUGUCCGUGAGCAGUAGGGGGAGGAGUGGAGGGCUUGCACUAUGG
rnacentral:rRNA from 1 species